UCUAUAGAAAUCAACAUCUUACGACCUAACAUUCAUACAUUCUAGAUAACAUGCCAUUCUGAUAAUUUUUGUUAGCCAUCCGGUGGUCUAUACAAUACAAUACAAACCACAGAAACUAUAAUGUAAAAUCUCAGAUAGUGACUAAGAUGAAACCUUUUACUUUUGAUAUAUAUACAACAAAAGAAACUGACUCACCCAGCAACAUUAUGUAAAGACUAAACUAUAAGCACCCUACUGAGCAUAUUUAGG
rnacentral:misc_RNA from 1 species